rnacentral:rRNA from 1 species
GAGCUUACAUGACAAGUCGAGGGGGCAUCGGGAGGGAAGCUUGCUUUCCUUGCCGGCGACCGGCGCACGGGUGAGCAACACGUAUGCAACCUGCCCUCUUCAGGGGGACAACCUUCCGAAAGGGAGGCUAAUCCCGCGUAUAUCGGUUUCGGGCAUCCGUUAUCGAGGAAAGAUUCAUCGGAAGAGGAUGGGCAUGCGGCGCAUUAGCUAGACGGCGGGGUAACGGCCCACCGUGGCGACGAUGCGUAGGGGUUCUGAGAGGAAGGUCCCCCACACUGGUACUGAGACACGGACCAGACUCCUACGGGAGGCAGCAGUGAGGAAUAUUGGUCAAUGGGAGAGAUCCUGAACCAGCCAAGCCGCGUGAGGGAAGACGGCCCUAUGGGUUGUAAACCUCUUUUGUCGGGGAACAAAACCCGGGACGAGUCCCGGACUGCGUGUAUCCGAAGAAAAAGCAUCGGCUAACUCCGUGCCAGCAGCCGCGGUAAUACGGAGGAUGCGAGCGUUAUCCGGAUUUAUUGGGUUUAAAGGGUGCGUAGGCGGUCCGUUAAGUCAGCGGUAAAAUUGCGGGGCUCAACCCCGUCGAGCCGUUGAAACUGGCAGACUUGAGUUGGCGAGAAGUACGCGGAAUGCGCGGUGUAGCGGUGAAAUGCAUAGAUAUCGCGCAGAACUCCGAUUGCGAAGGCAGCGUACCGGCGCCAGACUGACGCUGAGGCACGAAAGCGUGGGGAUCGAACAGGAUUAGAUACC